rnacentral:rRNA from 1 species
UUGUAGUAAUACAAGGCAUACGGCUCAGUAACGCGUAGUCAACCUACCCUAUGGACGGGGAUAAUCUCGGGAAACUGAGCAUAAUACCCGGCAGACCACUUAUCCUGGAAUGGUUAGUGGUUAAAAUGAUUCGUCGCCAUAGGAUGGGACUGCGGCCUAUCAGCUUGUUGGUGAGGUAAUGGCCCACCAAGGCGAUUACAGGUACGGGCUCUGAGAGGAGAGGCCCGGAGAUGGGUACUGAGACAAGGACCCAGGCCCUAUGGGGCGCAGCAGGCGAGAAAACUUUGCAAUGUGCGAAAGCACGACAGGGUUAAUCCGAGUGAUUUCUGCUAAAGGAAUCUUUUGUUAGUUCUAAAAAUACUAGUGAAUAAGGGGUGGGCAAGUUCUGGUGUCAGCCGCCGCGGUAAAACCAGCACCUCAAGUGGUCAGGGGGAUUAUUGGGCCUAA